CACUACACGACACGUGAUUCUCACAAGGGUUCUUCGCUAACAACCAGGACGUCAAGCGUUCCGGAGUGGCGAUACUCUUCAUGCAGACAGUACCAUUUCAAUGCACGGCCACACAGGAGGAUCCACUCGGUAGGUACCUCUUUGUGAAGGUAACCAUAGCAGACCGGCCAUUCACCAUGGCCAAUGUGUACUGCCCCAACCGCAGCCAACACAUUCCUAGCCCGGACGUUGACCCUUCUCGAGAAGUUCAGGGAAG